CCUACGAGAGGCAGCAGUGGGGAAUAUUGGACAAUGGGGGCAACCCUGAUCCAGCCAUGCCGCGUGUGUGAAGAAGGCCCUCGGGUUGUAAAGCACUUUCAGUGAGGAAGAACGCCUGGUGGUUAAUACCCAUCAGGAAAGACAUCACUCACAGAAGAAGCACCGGCUAACUCCGUGCCAGCAGCCGCGGUAAUACGGAGGGUGCGAGCGUUAAUCGGAAUUACUGGGCGUAAAGCGCGCGUAGGUGGCUUGAUAAGCCGGUUGUGAAAGCCCCGGGCUCAACCUGGGAACGGCAUCCGGAACUGUCAAGCUAGAGUGCAGGAGAGGAAGGUAGAAUUCCCGGUGUAGCGGUGAAAUGCGUAGAGAUCGGGAGGAAUACCAGUGGCGAAGGCGGCCUUCUGGACUGACACUGACACUGAGGUGCGAAAGCGUGGGUAGCAAACAGGAUUAGAUACCCCAGUAGUC
rnacentral:rRNA from 1 species